GAUGAACGCUAGCGGCAGGCCUAAUACAUGCAAGUCGAACGGUAGAUCGGGUAGCAAUACUUGAUUGAGAGUGACGUAAGGGUGCGUAACACGUAUGCAAUCUACCCUCAACAGGAGUAUAGCUCGGGGAAACUCGGAUUAACACUCUAUAACAUUACGAUGUGGCAUCACAUUGUGAUUAAAACUCCGGUGGUUGAGGAUGAGCAUGCGUCUGAUUAGUUAGUUGGAGGUGUAACGGACCCCCAAGACGAUGAUCAGUAGGGGAACUGAGAGGUUGAUCCCCCACACUGGCACUGAGAUACGGGCCAGACUCCUACGGGAGGCAGCGAGUAGGGAAUAUUGGUCAAUGGGUGAGAGCCUGAACCAGCCAUGCCGCGUGCAGGAAGACGGCCUUCUGGGUUGUAAACUGCUUUUAUCUGGGGAUAAAAAGCCCAUGCGUGGGACAUUGAAGGUACCAGAUGAAUAAGCACCGGCUAACU
rnacentral:rRNA from 1 species